rnacentral:rRNA from 1 species
UACGUAGGGUGCGAGCGUUUAAUCGGAAUUACUGGGCGUAAAGCGUGCGCAGGCGGUUCGUUGUGUCGGCGGUGAAAGCCCCGGGCUUAACCUGGGAAUGGCCGUUGAAACUGGCGAACUGGAGUGUGGCAGAGGGGGGGUGGAAUUCCGCGUGUAGCAGUGAAAUGCGUAGAGAUGCGGAGGAACACCGAUGGCGAAGGCAGCUUGCUGGGCCUUUUCUGACGCUGAGGCACGAAAGCGUGGGGAGCGAACAGG